CACUCUUUAGGAAGAGGGUUUAGUGCUGGUAUGCCUAGAAAAAGCAGGGGAACCAGGAGUGGUGGGAAGCAAUUCAGGGAAUGAGCAGUGAGGGCUGGGAGAGUAAAGUCCAAAACUACUGGUUGAGGGUUUCUGGACGGAAACCCACAGUAGAAGGUGGGCCUGUUUCCCUACCAGUCACUGAAGAAGUGGCACCUGAGGCAGUGAAUGGGAAGACUGCCUAAGGCUGCUGAAGAAAAGACUUUGAUAUACCCUGAAAGGGUGGCAUGCGGACUGACCUGGCCAGAGGACUGAGUCAUGGAAAGGGCCCUGCAGUUGCUGGAGUGAGAGAAGGGCUGUGGAUCAGAGAAAGAGAUGGGAAUGGCUGUUGACCUAAUGCGCUAAUCCCCAAAGCAGCCAGGAGGAGGCAUCAGAUUAGCGGAGCUGGCACCUUUGUCACUCUUCCAGAUUUUGAAUCUUCAUAGUGGCACUUGUUUGUUGCACAAUUCUGCCCCCCCCCCCCCAAUGAAGAGGAUUAUGUUGCAGCAGGAUUCUAUCACUGCUCUCUCUGGUUGAGCUGCUGCAGUUAUUCAUGAGAGUGGUAGUCUGACUGGGCAGCCUUGCCCCCCACAGGAGAAUAGAGACAUGAAGCACCUGACCUACUACUCCACUGAGGCAACCCACAGCAGUUCAGACAAAUGCUGUUCAGUGAUUA